rnacentral:miRNA from 1 species
AGCCGUUUAAUCAAAAUCCAA